rfam:Prochlorococcus phage P-HM2, complete genome.
UAUUGGGACGACGGUUCUAAUACUGGGAGUGACUGAAUAAACUUACUGGCAACCGCUAGUUAAGGUGAUGAGACACAGGUGGUGCUGCUGAUGCGAGUCAGAAUCGACUUACCAGUCGGGUCUCAGGCAAGGAAAGUAAUUUUACACUGUAGUAAUGCCCUUUCUUUUGUUGGUACACAGUAAUCCAACCUCCCCCCUU